GGAUUCCGGUGGCUGCGUCCGCGUCGCCUCUCCCAGACUAGAUCGAAGGGUUCCCCCCACCUCCCCUCUGUGGGCGGAAAGAGCGGAAUGUUCCAUUUUUCUGUGGAAUAACGGGGUCAUGAACUGGAGCCCGGGUGCUGCCCGCCGCCCGCUGCCCCCGCCCUCCCUUCUCGCCAGGGCGCCUGCGGCCUCUCUUCGCGGCCUUCCCCGAGGGACUCAGAGCCGCGAGGGACCGCCUAGCUCCCUUGGGGAUGGGGAAGGCGUGGGAGCCUCUUGGGGAAAGUGAAGAGCUCGGUGGCCGUGACUCCGCACGAGACUGCGGCAGAUUGUGGCGGCGGCUUCUCUCCAAGACUUACCAUCCAUGUUCAUGACUCAUUAGCACUCUGACCUCACAAUUUCUCAUCGUUUUCUUUUCCAAUCAUCUUCAACUUCACUCUGUAUCAGCAACCCACAGAUGGAGCCACACCUUCAACCUAGUCAUCAAUGAAAUUACUUCCCCUCCAA
rnacentral:lncRNA from 10 species